rnacentral:rRNA from 1 species
AUUGAACGCUGGCGGUAUGCUUAACACAUGCAAGUCGAACGGUAGCAGGCCUUCGGGCGCUGACGAGUGGCGGACGGGUGAGUAACGCGUAGGAAUCUGCCUCAUAGUGGGGGACAACGUGGGGAAACUCACGCUAAUACCGCAUACGCCCUACGGGGGAAAGCGGGGGCUCUUCGGACCUCGCGCUAUGAGAUGAGCCUGCGUUAGAUUAGCUAGUUGGUAGGGUAAAAGCCUACCAAGGCGACGAUCUAUAGCUGGUCUGAGAGGACGAUCAGACACACUGGGACUGAGACACGGCCCAGAAUCCUCCGGGAGGCAGCAGUGGGGAAUAUUGGACAAUGGGCGCAAGCCUGAUCCAGCAAUACCGCGUGUGUGAAGAAGGCCCUAGGGUUGUAAAGCACUUUCAAUUGGGAGGAAAACCUGCCGGUCAAUACCCGGCAGCUUGACAUUACCUUUAGAAGAAGCACCGGCUAACUCCGUGCCAGCCGCCGCAGUAAGAC